rnacentral:pre_miRNA from 1 species
UUUCCCUCUAGAGUUCUCCUGAAUCACUUCAUUGGGAUUUAAAAAGUGCCCUAACUUAGAAGGGUAUAUUAAUUAUUAAUGCCUACUGAAGUGUUUGGGGGAACUCUGGGAGCCAC